rnacentral:rRNA from 1 species
UGCAAGUCGAGCGGGCACUUUCGGGUGUCAGCGGCGGACGGGUGAGUAACGCGUGGGAACGUGCCCUCUGGUUCGGAAUAACUCAGGGAAACUUGAGCUAAUACCGGAUACGCCCUUUUGGGGAAAGGCUUGCUGCCGGAGGAUCGGCCCGCGUCUGAUUAGCUAGUUGGUGAGGUAACGGCUCACCAAGGCGACGAUCAGUAGCUGGUCUGAGAGGAUGAUCAGCCACACUGGGACUGAGACACGGCCCAGACUCCUACGGGAGGCAGCAGUGGGGAAUAUUGGACAAUGGGCGCAAGCCUGAUCCAGCCAUGCCGCGUGAGUGAUGAAGGCCUUAGGGUUGUAAAGCUCUUUUAUCCGGGACGAUAAUGACGGUACCGGAGGAAUAAGCCCCGGCUAACUUCGUGCCAGCAGCCGCGGUAAUACGAAGGGGGCUAGCGUUGCUCGGAAUCACUGGGCGUAAAGGGCGCGUAGGCGGCGUUUUAAGUCGGGGGUGAAAGCCUGUGGCUCAACCACAGAAUGGCCUUCGAUACUGGGACGCUUGAGUAUGGUAGAGGUUGGUGGAACUGCGAGUGUAGAGGUGAAAUUCGUAGAUAUUCGCAAGAACACCGGUGGCGAAGGCGGCCAACU